UAGGAUUACAGGCGUGAGCCACCGUGCCCAGCCCCAUUUUCAUUACUAGUCAUAUCCCAGUGCCCAGAGCAGGGUCUAGCAUACAGUAGGUGCUUAGUAAGUAUGUAGUAAAUAAAUGAAUGAAAUAGCCUCAAAAGAGGGGCAAGUCAGGUGCAGCUGAAGGCAGAGGAAUGAGUGAUUGCCAAGGCAGGGUGGAAACGGUGAAACUUAAAUGAGUGAUUCACUGAGGUGAGGGCGGAGGCAGGGGCACGCGUGGCUGGUAGGGCAGAUGUGAAAUCACAGCACGCGGUUAGUAUAGUGAUGUUAGCGUAAAGGCUACCCAGGUAGAGAGAAAGUCUGAGGGUAAAGCUAGAAAAUAUCAAGAUAGUAGUAGGUCUUGGAUGUCAUUAUAAGAUGUUUAGACCUAUUUCCCUGUGGCAGUGAUGAGCCCAUGAAAGUUCCUGAGGCCAGCAGUGAUGUGGUCUCUGCAUUGCUUUAGAAAGAUCCCUGAGGGAGGUUGUAGUGAGCUGAGAUCAUGCCACUGCACUCCAGCCUGGGUGACAGAGCAGGACUCCAUCUCAAAUAAAAAAAAAAAAAAUGCAAGAUCCCUGAGGAAGUGGAGGUGGCUGGGUGGGGAAAGGCAGGAGGCAAGGGGUCUGUGGGGGAGGAUGAGCAACUGUCAGAGCAGCGACUUCGGGAGAUGUUUGGAGCAGACCCUGUGGCACUCAGUGGAGUCCAGGGAGGCCUCAAGGUUGGAUUCAGAGUAGAAGCUGCUGUCACUUACUGAGAAAGCAGAUGUUAGAAGAGUGUCAGUUUCAUUGGUGUACAACCAGGGUGGUUGCACAGGGCCCCGUGCUCAGAAGGACCCGGAACUGGCAGGGGUGUGAGAAGGACCCUUCUAGAUUGGGGGGGUUAAUGCUCUGUGGUGGCCAUCUUGAAUUUCUUAAUAAUUUUGUCUUUAAAUUUGUGUUUUGUAGGUGAAGUCUGAUGGGACCAUGGAGCCUCAGCUCAUAGUGAGCCAGAAUUAAUCAGGCCCCGGCUUACCUGAUACAGAGGAGACAUUCUGGAGUCCCAGUGCCCAGGAAAGAAGACGGGAGGCAGUAGCAGAGCCUGGGAGAGAUGGCCUGAGGAUGUUGUGAUGGAAGACUGUAUAUGAUCAUAUGCACUGCUGUCCAGGUUGGCUCACAUGGGACCCUAUCCCCUUCCCAGGAUAACAAGAGGGUCUGCAGGAGAGGGAUGGCUGUGGGGAGUGCCCUAGGAGAGAAUAUUUGCAGCCUGAGGGGAAGAGAUGACGGGCUUUGUCUGAGGGUGUUAGAGUAGACUCCGACUCAUGGAAUUUCCACCCAUUUAAUCUGUUUUCACACACUACUUUAGUGACCUCAUCUACCUCCAAGGCUUCAACUACUCAAAUCUCUAUUCCAAGUUUCAGACUGAGUUUUCUAUUUUCUGGUUGGAUAUCCCCACCUUGACAUCCCAGUAAUUCUUUGAUCUAAUUUGUCCCAACAAGUCCCCAACCUGAAUUCAUCUUUUCCCCUAAGUCUGCAGAGCCAUGUGGGGGCAAGAAGCAGAGGCAAGGAGCUGCCUGCAUGUGGGCUCUGCUUCUCUAUCCCUCACUCCGUCUCCUCCGCUGCAAAAAGAGGACAGCAAUAGCACCUGCUGCAGAGGGGUAUGUGAGAAUUAAAAGCUACUAAAGAGUAUCCCAAAAGUCCUAGAGCAGUUUUAAGUUUUAAUAACUGUGAAAGUACAAGUACUACAAACAUAUAAAAAAAGCCAGCUGAGUGCAGUGGCUCUAGCCUGUAAUCCCAGUACUUGAGGAGGUAGA
rnacentral:lncRNA from 1 species